CUAAAGGUGAAAAAGCCUAGUUCUGCUUCAUAAUGUGGUCACUCAUUGAAAAUACCUUUGCCUUCGUGCUAACUGAUUUUGAGUGUUCAAGUGGCAGGAUGCUGAUGGUGGUUUUUUNUUUUUUUUUUUUUUUUUUUUUUUUUUUUUUUUUUUCAGGUACAAUAUCACAGGAUUUAAUUUACUGACAGAAACCUCCUGAUGACUUUUGUUCUUCCAGUUUGUAAGCUGGUGCUGUACAAAACUGUGAUGUUUUGCCCGGGAGCUAGGACAACCACAGACCUCCUGCCCCUUUCUGCUGUGGCAGAAGYAGGUGCUUUUCCCUGCCCUGUUGCUUGCCCUCCAUCCACAGCGAGAGCACACAAGCCCACCUGCAGCCUGGAGCAGCACCCGGAGGGACGAAGGACGCUGAAGGCAGCCUCGAGGAUGUGGAAGUUUUCGUAGCAGUUGAACAGAUGGAGUUAUGGCUUAUUUAAGCUAUAUCUCUGUCUCUCUCUUUUUGGUUGUUCAGGAAAAUAGAUCUUUCUGUACUAGGAAAAAGCUUGUCUGUGCAGGAGAGGGCUUUCUUAUAGGCUCAUUUSAAGUGUAAGGAAUGAGCUUGCCAGGAGUUAAGGACAGUCACAAAUCUUACCAUGUACUGCCUCAAGUUCAAGGUGCAUUUCUUUGAUCUAGUAUAACAAUGGGGGAAAUUAACAGUGUGUGUAAAUUUUUUUUAAAAAAACAAUCAACAACAAUGCAAACAAGGCAACAAAUGUGACAAAUAGUAUUCACUGAGCUUAAUAUUUGCUGAUGGGAGGCCCUGAUCGAUGCAGUAUAACAGCCUUCAUGGAUUAUAAUAGGCACUAGUUAAGUCAACGAAUAUAUUUUCAUGAGCUUCAGGUGGGCCAGUUUUUAACCCCAAAUAUUUUGGGCCUUAAGCUUUCAACUUAAUCUGAGCAACUUAAUCUGAGCAGGCACUCAUAGGAACCCAACUAAAUUUCAGUGCAGCUGCAAGGUGUAAGUGUUUAGCUGGUGUGCACAUCUGGACUGAAAUAAGUUGCCCUUGCAGCCUGCUAUCAGUAUUACUGUUUUACACUGAUGUUUUAUCUGUAGUAAGAGAACUAACAUGCAAUACUGUUUACUUCCGUAUUAACUGAAAGAAAGGAAAUAGUUUUGACGUUGAAGAGCAUUGUCUUUUCUGUGUUGGUGCUGCGUGGACUCUUCUUGUUUCCUUUGUGAGUAGUCUGCUAUGACUUGCUGUGAUUUUAUCUGUUACAAAGCAUAUAUUUCUUGAGAAUCAUUAAAAAUAGUAACUUGAAUGAUGUAGUGCUAGUGAAAGGUGUGACUAGUUAGCACUGUAGGGCAGCACCUCUGAGCCUCCUCCUUGGUCAUGCAGCACGUGCAGUGGAGCGGGGGCUGCCACUGCUAGCCUCGUGCAGGCAUUUCUGCAGUGGUUAUCUGCUUU
rnacentral:lncRNA from 1 species